GAUGAACGCUGGCGGCGUGCCUAAUACAUGCAAGUCGAGCGAACAGACGAGGAGCUUGCUCCUCUGACGUUAGCGGCGGACGGGUGAGUAACACGUGGAUAACCUACCUAUAAGACUGGGAUAACUUCGGGAAACCGGCGCUAAUACCGGAUAAUAUAUUGAACCGCAUUGUUCAAUAGUGAAAGACGGUUUUGCUGUCACUUCUAGAUGGAUCCGCGCCGCAUUAGCUAGUUGGUAAGGUAACGGCUUACCAAGGCAACGAUGCGUAGCCGACCUGAGAGGGUGAUCGGCCACACUGGAACUGAGACACGGUCCAGACUACUACGGGAGGCAGCAGUAGGGAAUCUUCCGCAAUGGGCGAAAGCCUGACGGAGCAACGCCGCGUGAGUGAUGAAGGUCUUCGGAUCGUAAAACUCUGUUAUUAGGGAAGAACAAAUGUGUAAGUAACUAUGCACGUCUUGACGGUACCUAAUCAGAAAGCCACGGCUAACUACGUG
rnacentral:rRNA from 1 species